rnacentral:ncRNA from 1 species
UAAAAGUUUUAUUUUGGCUUUAAAUUUAAUUUUUUAUUUGUUUUAUAUACGAGUUAUUUUUAAUAGUUUAUUGUAGUAAUUAAUAUUAGUAUUUAAGGUAACUUAGAUUUAGGGAAAUGAAAGAGUUUUGAUUAAUUUUGUGCCAGCAGUCGCGGUUAUACAAAUAAUGCUAAUUAAAUUUGUCUUGUUUUAAUAAAUUUGUUUUAUUUAUUGAUGAGGAAAUUUUAGGUGAAAUUUGAUUUCUUCUGAGAGUUUCAAUAUGAUUUAAGAGACUUCACGAUUAAACUAGGAUUAGAUACCCUAUUAUUUGGAGUGUAAAUUAACAUAUUAGUAUUAGUUUUGGUCUUGAAAGUAAAAGGAUCUGGCGGUAUCUUAGUCUUUUCAGAGGAACCUGUCUUAUAAACGAUGAUCCACGAUUGAUUGUACUUUUCCUAGAAGUUUGUAUAUCGUCGUAGUUGAGUGUUCUUUGAGGAAACAUUCAUGAUUUUAAAUUUAAAAUAAAUUCAGAUCAAGGUGCAGUUUAUGGAGAAGAAUUGAUGGGUUACAAUAAGCUUAUUUAUAUGGUCUAAAAUUUUAGCAAAUUUUAGUAAAGUGGAUUUGAAAGUAAAUUGAGAAAUUUUUCUUGGUUGAUUAAGCUCUAGGAUAUGCACAUAUCGCCCGUCGCUCUCAUUGUAGUUGAGAUAAGUCGUAACAUAGUAGGUGUACCGGAAGGUGUGUCUAGGUUGAC